rnacentral:rRNA from 1 species
CUACGGGACGCUGCAGUAGGGAAUAUUGGGCAAUGGGCGCAAGCCUGACCCAGCAACGCCGCGUGCGCGAAGAAGGCCUUCGGGUCGUAAAGCGCUUUUCUGAGGGAUGAGAAAGGACAGUACCUCAGGAAUAAGCCUCGGCUAACUACGUGCCAGCAGCCGCGGUAAAACGUAGGAGGCGAGCGUUAUCCGGAUUUACUGGGCGUAAAGCGUGUGCAGGCGGUCUGGCAAGUUGGAUGUGAAAGCUCCCGGCUCAACUGGGAGAGGUCGUUCAAAACUACCGGACUAGAGUGUAUCAGAGGGAGAUGGAAUUCCCGGUGUAGUGGUGAAAUGCGUAGAUAUCGGGAGGAACACCAGUGGCGAAAGCGAUCUUCCGGGAUACUACUGACGCUCAGACACGAAAGCUAAGGUAGCGAACGGGAUUAGAUACCCUAGUAGUC